rnacentral:rRNA from 1 species
GUGUGCUAAUACCACAUUUAUUUGACGAAGGCUCCAAAGGAAGCCACGGCUAACUCUGUGCCAGCAGCCGCGGUAAUACAGAGGUGGCAAGCGUUGUUCGGAAUUAUUGGGCGUAAAGAGCACGUAGGUGGGUUUGUAAGUCAGAUGUGAAAGCCUUCUGUUCAACGGAAGAAUUGCAUCUGAAACUGCGAGUCUUGAGUGUAGGAGGGGAGAAUGGAACUUCUGGUGGAGCGGUGAAAUGCGUAGAUAUCAGAAGGAACGCCGGCGGCGAAAGCGAUUCUCUGGCCUAUUACUGACGCUCAGUGUGCGAAAGCUAGGGGAGCAAACGGGAUUAGAUACCCCGGUAGUCCUAGCCGUAAACGAUGGGCACUAAGUAGAGGGAAUUACCGAUGUUCUCUCUGCCGUAGCUAACGCAUUAAGUGCCCCGCCUGGGGAGUACGGCCGCAAGGCUAAAACUCAAAAGAAUUGACGGGGGCUCGCACAAGCGGUGGAGCAUGUGGCUUAAUUCGAUGCAACGCGAAGAACCUUACCGGGGCUUGACAUGGUAGAAGUAGGAACCCGAAAGGGUAACGAACGGUAUCCAGUCCGUAACUAUCACAGGUGUUGCAUGGCUGUCGUCAGCUCGUGUCGUGAGACGUUGGGUUAAGUCCCCUAACGAGCGAAACCCUUGUUUUUAGUUACCAGCGGGUUGUGCCGGGUACUCUAGAAAGACUGCCGUCGUCAAGACGGAGGAAGGUGGGGAUGACGUCAAGUCAUCAUGGCCCUUAUGCCCCGGGCUGCACACGUGCUACAAUGGUCGGUACAAACGGAAGCGAAGCC